rnacentral:rRNA from 1 species
GACGGAGGGUGCUAGCGUUGUUCGGAUUUACUGGGCGUAAAGGGCGCGUAGGCGGCCUCCGCAAGUCAGUUGUGAAAUCUCCGAGCUUAACUCGGAAAGGUCAACUGAUACUGCGGGGCUAGAGUGCGGAAGGGGCAACUGGAAUUCUUGGUGUAGCGGUGAAAUGCGUAGAUAUCAAGAGGAACACCUGCGGCGAAGGCGGGUUGCUGGGCCGACACUGACGCUGAGGCGCGAAAGCUAGGGGAGCGAACGGG